AGUACGAGCUAUAGCUUAAAAACCAAAGAAUAUGGCGGUAUUUUAAUUUAUCAGGGUGGCUUGUAAUUUAAUUUGAUAGUCCACGGUGUUAUAUCCUUAUUUUGAAAUUUCAGUAUGUGUACUGCCGUUUAAUAUAAUUUUAUAAAAUUAUAUAAUUAAUAUAUAUAUAUAUAUAUAUAUAUAUAUAUAUAUAUAUAUAUAUAUAUAUAUAUAUAUAUAUAUAUAUAUAAUCAGGUCAAAGUGCAACUUAUAAUAACGGUAAUAUAUGAGCUACAUUUAUUUAAACAUUCUUUUUUUUUCUUGGAGUUAAAAUUUAGAAGAACUUGAUAGUAAUUAUAAUUUAU
rnacentral:rRNA from 1 species